UCGGCUCACUUGCGCAGGCUGGGGGCGGUCGGCAGAUUUUUGGCGAUCCAGGAGACUUAAACGACUUGGGGCACGCCAUCGAUGUUUAUUUAUCCGAACAAAACAUCGACGCUUCAGAAGUGGCCCAUCGUCGGGCCAAGCGCUACCUGAGCUUCCCUCCGAGCUCCACGGCCAAAGUCAAGACUCAGAUAACCGUUCCCCUCUUCGACGAGUAUGACUCAUACGUCAAGGCGACAUUCAAAGGCUUCGCCACGUGGUCGUACAGCCUGCCUACGAACUUUGUGACGCUCGGCAGAUCGCUGUCAGAUGCGCGUGUCGCUGACAGGGACACAUCGCGCGCACGACGCGCGUGCAGCGUAGC
rnacentral:lncRNA from 1 species